rnacentral:rRNA from 1 species
CCUACGGGAGGCUGCAGUCGAGAAUCAUUCACAAUGGGGGAAACCCUGAUGGAGCGACGCCGCGUGGGGGAAUGAAGGUCUCCGGAUUGUAAACCCCUGUCAUGUGGGAGCAAAUUAAAAAGAUAGUACCACAAGAGGAAGAGACGGCUAACUCUGUGCCAGCAGCCGCGGUAAUACAGAGGUCUCAAGCGUUGUACGGAAUCACUGGGCGUAAAGCGUGCGUAGGCUGUUUCGUAAGUCGUGUGUGAAAGGCGCGGGCUCAACCCGCGGGCGGCACAUGAUACUGAGAGACUAGAGUAAUGGAGGGGGAACCGGAAUUCUCGGUGUAGCAGUGAAAUGCGUAGAUAUCGGGAGGAACACUCGUGGCGAAGGCGGGUUCCUGGACAUUAACUGACGCUGAGGCACGAAGGCCAGGGGAGCGAAAAGGAUUAGAUACCCCAGUAGUC